rnacentral:lncRNA from 1 species
UUUAUACUCUCACCUUUUGGUGCUUGAUGUUGUAAAUCUGUAGUUUAAUUGAGUGAUAUUAAUAUACUGUAAGUGACUUUAUAGAAAUUUGAUUGCUAUUAUAACUACAAUUAUAAACAGUAAUAGACCAGGUUAUAAAGAAAUCUUGUGGGACCAACUUUCUUUAUAAUAAGUGAAUAAGAAUGACUGGUAAUUCACUGGGUAUAAUUUAGUAAUAAUGUAUAAUGGUAACCUGCAAGUAACUGGAUUGAAACAGUUUGACUGGAUUGAAACAGCUUUUGCCUCACUUAAUAUUAGUGAUUGAGAAAUGUUUCCUGGCUCUGUAAUAGAUAUAUGCAUGAUAUUUAUUAUAUUUCUGAAGGUAUUUGAGUUAUUGUAACAUCUUAAACUCUUUGCUUAUAAUUUUGUUUAUAUCUUUUAUUUUCUUUAAUCAGGUAUAUAAAGUUUGUUAAAAAAAAAAAAGGUAAACUUCCCCUUCCUCUCCUAAUGAAAUCAUAUGAGUGGGGACUCCAUUUAAAGUUAUUUGUAGAAAAAGGUGUGAAUGGCUACCUCUAUAAAUAAGGUUUAUGUAUAUUUUGAAAUAGGAUAUGAUGCCUUCAAAAAUCACAAGAACCGUCUGGAAAUGUUAGGAAUUUUUAAACAAGCAACUACUUGUUUUACAAAGUUCCCUCAAAUGUCAUUCAACCUUUCUUCAUCUCUUUAUGAAGAAGCAUAGCUGCUGUGCAAUUUUCUGCAGAGCCCUUCCAGCUAAUAUUAAAUUGGCAGCUGGGCACUGCUGUUCUCACUUGGUAACCUUUGAGGUGCUGCCAGGAAAGGGGACCCAAGUGACAAUUGUUUCUCUCCUCCUACAAUCCCCCAAAGCCUCAGUAAAUAUGUGUGCUUCAUUCUUUCAAAGAGGAUCCAGCUGCUAACAAUGCUGCCAUUUCCCCAUGGAAUGAAAAUCCUGGAGGUCUGGAAAUGUACUGCAUGGUUAUAAUGACCAGCAUAGAGUAAAGCUGAGAUUUAAAAUCCCUAAAAGUGGCAUCCAUCAGUGGGGAGUCAGUUGGUAGCUGAUAAGUAAGCAGUUGGAGAGAUAGUAGAGAGUCUUUAACAAGAGAAAUCAAAUCAGAGCUCCGUCACAAGUGAGCUUUAUAAAGUAGUGUUGUAGAUAUUAAACAUUUUUAUAUUUCAUAAAAUUAAGACAUGUUUAAUGUAAAUAAGUUAGG